rnacentral:rRNA from 1 species
GUUUGCUGUCCCCGCCUUCUUGGAGGGUGUAUGUGCACGCUUGUCAUUAUCAUUUCUCCAACUUGUGCACAUAUUGUAGACCUUGGAAGCUUUUGAACAUUUUGUUGUUUCGAGUUGGAACUGCCGUGCCUUUUUCAUUUCAAAGGGUCGGCUUUUCCUUUCAUUCUCCAGGUCUAUGUCAUUUUUUCACAACCUCUCAAAUGUGUUUAGAAUGUUGAAUGAAUAUAAUAUAAAGUUUUAUACAACUUUCAGCAACGGAUCUCUUGGCUCUCGCAUCGAUGAAGAACGCAGCGAAAUGCGAUAAGUAAUGUGAAUUGCAGAAUUCAGUGAAUCAUCGAAUCUUUGAACGCAUCUUGCGCUCCUUGGUAUUCCGAGGAGCAUGCCUGUUUGAGUGUCAUUUUAACUUUCCUCAACUGCAUCAGAAUUUUGUUUUGAUGUGGCUUGGAUAUGGGGGGAUAAUGCAGGCUUCUACAGAAGUCGGCUCCCCUGAAAUGCAUUAGUGGUAUCCGAGCUGCUAUUAUAGGUGUGAUAAAUUAUCUAUGCCUUUGGUAUGCUGGGUGCACCGCUUCUAACGAGUGGAACCUUGCCAC